rnacentral:rRNA from 1 species
CCUACGGGGGGCUGCAGUGGGGGAUAUUACACAAUGGGGGGAACCCUGAUGCAGCGACGCCGCGUGGGUGAAGGAGUAUUUCGGUAUGUAAAGCCCUAUCGGCAGGGACGAAAUUGGACGGUACCUGACUAAGAAGCCCCGGCUAACUACGUGCCAGCAGCCGCGGUAAUACGUAGGGGGCAAGCGUUAUCCGGAUUCACUGGGUGUAAAGGGAGCGUAGACGGCCAUGCAAGCCAGGGGUGAAAGCCCGGGGCCCAACCCCGGGACUGCCCUUGGAACUGCAUGGCUGGAGUGCGGGAGGGGCAGGCGGAAUGCCUGGGGUAGCGGUGAAAUGCGUAGAUAUCAGGAGGAACACCGGCGGCGAAGGCGGCCUGCUGGACCGCGACUGACGUUGAGGCUCGAAAGCGUGGGGAGCGAACAGGAUUAGAUACCCCUGUAGUC